UUUUUUUUAAUUAAAAAAUAUGAAAGUUUCAAAUUUUUAGGUGUUGGCCAUUAAUUCAAUUUUGUAUAAGUCUUUUGCAAAGAUGGUGAACACACUCCUAAGCCAGAUUUGGCUGUGGGGCACUAGAUUCUAACCUCCACUCUUGGUGGUGAGGGAAGGCUAUGUCUCGUCCAUUUCUGUAACUUCUGGAAACCACUCGUGCACAGUAGCUUCUUGAUGACUGCAGGCGGAGUAGCAGGUUUCUUGGAACUGAGAUACCCUGGCCCAUCAGGUGGAGGGUCAGUUUCAGAAGCUCAGUGAUUACAGGAGUGGUUGCCUCCCAAGUAGCUUCCACAGUCUGUAGAGGGUCCCAAGGAGCAUGCCCUAACGUGCACGUGGGUGGCAGGAAGAGAACAGAGACACUGAAAAGACUGAACACACUGGUUCUUGACCAGAAGUCAUGUUGUCCCCCAGUGGACACUUGGCAAUGUCUGACAUUUUUAGCUGUCACAUCUGGGGAACGGGUGCCACUGGCAUCUUGUGGGUAGAGGCCAGGGAUGCUUUUAAACAUCUACAAUGCAUAGAACAGCCCCUACGCGCCCCCCCGCCCCCCCCACACACAAUUACCCCAGCCUCAAAUGUCAAUAGUGUAGAGAUCUAGAAGCCCUGGAACAGGGAGGUUGGAGGCCCAGACAGACCGAGCCUCAGUCAUGGCUCUGCUCAGGUUUCCUGUGUGACCUUGAACUUCUUAUUAAUAAGCCUCACUAACUCUCAUUUUUCUGUAGACUGAAGUUAGUGGAAGUAGCAUUCUUUCCAGGGUGGGUGUGAGGUUUCAGUGAGAUGAUGUGAGUCAAAUGCUUAGCUCAUGCCUGACACAUAGUUACAUCCUCACCAUGUCUCAGCUGCUGUUGAUAUCCACCUACCUGUAUAUCCGCCUGAACUAUGCAAAAAGAAGGGGUUUUGCAAACUUUUGCAUGCAGGCUUAGAAUUCAACAUUAGCAGGACCCUGACACAGCAAACUUCCAAGCUAUGAAGUGAAUCAAUGUUCAGGUUAACCGAUGGAAAUCACUUUUCUUUUUAUGAGUGUGCGUCUCGAUGCCUUGCAUUUUAUUUGACAAUAGCCCCAUCAAACCUAACAUGUUGUGCCUUCCCAGCCCUCAAAGUGAAGAUGAAAAGAGCCAUCAAAAUGAACAACUAAUAAGCAAGUGCACGUCUUUCCCUGCUGUCCUCCUCAUCAACCUCGCUUUGAUGUGAGUCUUUUUUUUUUUAUCUUUGAGACAGAGUCUUGCUCUGUCGCCCAGGCUAGAGUACAGUGGUGCAAUCUCGGCUCACUACAACCUCCACCUCCCGGGAUCAAGCUGUUCUCCAGCCUCAGCCUCCCUAGUAGGUGUGAUUACAGGUGCCCACGACCAUGUCAGGAUAAUUUUUGUAUUUUUAGUUAGAGACGAGGUUUCCUUAUGUUGGCCAGGCUUGUCUCGAACUGCUGACCUCAGGUGAUCCGCCCCACAUCAGCCUCCCAAAGUGCUGGGAUUAUAGGUGUGAGCCACUGUGCCCAGCCUGAUGUGAGUCUAUAAUUGAUUAUUUAAUGGGAAAAAAAGCCAGGUUAGGUUCUGGGCUCCAGCGAACACAACCAGGACUAGAGAGAGGCCUUGAAAUAGGAAAGUGGGGGCCAGAGAGGCAAGAAAUAUUAACAAUGUGGAAACUUACUUAGAGAGUAUUUGUCUUUCAAAUGAUCUGAUCCUUUUGUCCGGGGCCAUUACAAUCUGGAGGAGAGGAUUUUUCAAUUAGAGAAAUUAGUGCCUUCCCUUCGUGACUGGCUUCAGAUUCAGACCCAGAAGGAAGAAAGUGUUCUUGAAUUCCAUGAAGUAAAAGAGACAGUUUCCAUGAUGUAAGCCGAGGAGGGUAGAGACUUGGCAAGACAUCAGGUCAGAUAUCUUUUUGCGGGAAAGGGGUCCCAGCCAAGACUAAAUUAGAAUCCACUCUCUGUUGGAGUCAAAGCCUCGGUUGAUCUGCAGAGGGACAGUGUGGGAGGCAGUGCUCUGAGCGUGGGCCCUUGGGCAGAGGGAACAGGAAGGUAUCUGUCCCCCUGGGGGACCCCCGCGAUGGAGCUCACUCCAUCUAGAAAGAGGGGCUGCAGCUGAAGCCAAGGGAAAUGCUCUCUCCAGGGAUCCCGAGGUUCUGGAAAAAGCUUCAUCGCUUUGUGGCCAGGCAACUGAGUGUGGCCGCCUUUAGGAGAAGGCGGAGGCAGCACAGCCUGGGUGGUACGUUGGUGUCUGGGUGACCUCAGGAAGCUGGGACAUAGUGCCCAGGGCAGGGAAGCAACGUCUUCACGGGGCCACGGGACAGGAAAUCAGGAGAGCGGGAGAGCUGGAAGGGAUCUCACUCCGCAGCCUCAUUUUAGAAAAACAGAAACUCAAGCCCACAGGGGAAGCCUCUAUAACAACUCACGCUGAUGUCGGCAAUGGCAGAAGCAGAGAUAAGACCAGGCGCGGUCUGAGCCCUGCAUGAGUCACAGCUCAAACGACUGUCACAGCAAUAAUAACACUGUUAUUCCCUCCGCUUCACGGGUGAAGAAACUGAGGCACAGAAAGUUGAAACAUCGUGCCCAAAGCCAGAAUUGGCCCCAUGAGCUGAAUUUACCCUACGGAUACUUGCGGUGGAAUCACAAGAGGUAUGUCCAGGGAUGCUCAUCAUAGCAUCAUCUGCGAUGGCAAAAAUGCUGAAGACGACCUAUUAAGUCCAUACACAGGGCAGUGGUUAAAACAUGGAACUUUGUGCACUAGAAAUCUCUGCAGAUAGUCGACAGAAGGAAUCAGAUGUAAAUGUGCUGAUACAAAAAGAUAACCUUUUAGUUAGGAAAGUGUGCUAGUCUUAAGUACACAGCUUGAGUAAUUUUUCCAUGUGUCUACACCCGUGUAACCAUCAAGAUCGAGAUGGAACAUUCCCGUCACUUGAGAGGGCUCCCUGUGCUCUUUAGAAUCAGUCACGCCCUCUCCCCACACAAAGGAACCAUUCUUCUGACUUUGGGGGCUGUUGAGUAGUUCUGCCUGUUCUUGAACUUCACAGAAAAGGAAUCACAUGGUGUGCGUUCUCUUAUACUUGGCUUCUUUCACUUAGCAUAAUGUUCUUGAAAUUCAUCCAUGUUAUGUAUACAUGAGUGCUUUGUUCCUUUUCAUUGCUAUGUAACAUUCUAUUAUAGGUUAUAACACAAUUUGUUAUUCAUUUACAUAUGGGACAUUUGGGUUGUUUCUACUUUUUGACUAAUAUAGUAAAGCUGCUCUGAACAUUCUUG
rnacentral:lncRNA from 1 species